CCAUUUACAUCCGAUGAAUAGUUUCUAAGUAACAUCCAUUUUAAAUUCUACCAAUACGUGUGAAAACCUAUGUUACCGCGCAACAUGGUUAGAUUAUUCCCUAGAUAACAUCGGUUUUCACACAGUCAUUUUUUUAAUUUUUAAAUAAAAAAAAAAAAAAUUAAUUCAAAUAUAUAUAUUUGUAUAGUCCUCUUUCUUGAUUUCGUGAUAUGAAAUCCCGUCGGCGUACAAAAACAAAACGUCCGGAAAACGAGUGUAAUAAUAUAUCGGGUAGGUACACUUGUAUUGUAUACGCGCGUUGACAAAGGAAUAAUAGACGAUACCGGACGAUAAAAUAACAGGCGACAACCGAAUAAAAUAAAUAUAAGAUCGGUAUCGCCGACGGCGACGAUCGUAUGCCCGGAUAACGGCGAGGCUCGCAUUAUGAUAAUGCUGCGGGUGUACCUGUAACGCUCUCCGGUAAUAAUACACGUGUAGUGUCGCGUGCUGCGCGUGAGAUCGAAAAAGGUGUUACA